rnacentral:misc_RNA from 1 species
GAUGAAGAACGUAGUGAAAUGCGAUACGUAAUGUGAAUUGCAGAAUUCAGUGAAUCAUCGAGUCUUUGAACGCACAUUGCGCCCCCUGGUAUUCCGGGGGGCAUGCCUGUCCGAGCGUCAUUGCUGCCCUCAAGCACGGCUUGUGUGUUGGGCCUCCGUCCUCCUCCCGGGGGACGGGCCCGAAAGGCAGCGGCGGCACCGCGUCCGGUCCUCGAGCGUAUGGGGCUUCGUCACCCGCUCUUGUAGGCCCGGUCGGCGCUUGCCGACACAUCAAUCUUUUUUCCAGGUUGACCUCGGAUCAGGUGGGACUACCCGCUGAACUUAAGCAUAUCAAUAAGCGGAGGA